CCCAUUUUAUUGCAGGGAGGUGGAGGGAGGGAUGGCAAGCAGAGGAGGGGAGGCAGCUGCCCAGGAGAGGGCAGCUCUGAACUGCUGGCUGGGACCAGCUCAGUAGGAACAGAUGAAAGGAAGUCUUCUGAGGCAGUGGGCUCGACGCCAGUGGCCUCCUCGGGUACACAGGGCCACGCAGUGACCACCGCGGGACCAGGGCUGGUGAGCAGCCCAGUAUGCAAAGUUCCAGCGGCUGCCGUCAACCCACUGAAAGCGUCUGCAGCGACCCGAGCCUGUGAUCCUGCCUCCAAUCCAGACUUGACCCUGGUUGAGCGCGCUGACAGAACACUGGAUUCGAUAAUUAAUAUUGAAGUUGUGGAUGGAAACCAGGUUGCCCCUGUAGCACCUCCGGCAAGUAAACCAAGCUUGACUAAACGUCUGAAGACUUCUCACCAGGAGGUAGCGGCAGGUCUGGCACCCAGGGAUGCCCACCACUUUUACUGUGUCCUCUUCCUCAGGACACGUAAGGUUUUUGUCCACCAUAUCUGGCACUGAGAUAGACUCAACAGCCCCAUCUUUCUUGGAGGCAUCUUCACUUCCAGAGCCCCACUCCUCCUCUUCCUCCAGCUCCCUGCAAGGGGUCUCCUCCAUCUCCUGCUCUGGUGUCUCCUCAUCCUCAGGCAGCGUCUUAGCACCCAAAGGGGUCUCAAAGGUGGAAGUCUCAGACCUUAGAUGAAGAGCAGAAACUGCCCCAAAUAGAAGAGCCAGAAGUAAGGGGAGUUUCAUCUUGGCUUUAUCCCAGAGACCUUCCUGGGUCUUUAGAUCUUCCCAAAGCC
rnacentral:lncRNA from 1 species